GGGUGCGAUAAUGCCUGCACUAAAUCACCGGAUCCCAUCUGAACUCCGAAGUUAAGCGUGCUUGGGCCAGAGUACAACUAGGAUGGGUGGUGGCCCUCC
rnacentral:rRNA from 15 species